GCCCCGGUGGCACAGGGGAUAGCGCGAUCCCCUCCUAAGGGAUAGGUCAGAGGUUCGAAUCCUCUCCGGGGCACCA
rnacentral:tRNA from 1 species